rnacentral:rRNA from 1 species
UCGAUGGGAAACGGGUUAAUAUUCCCGUACUUGGUGUUACUGCGAAGGGGGGACGGAGAAGGCUAUGUUGGCCGGGCGACGGUUGUCCCGGUUUAAGCGUGUAGGCUGGUUUUCCAGGCAAAUCCGGAAAAUCAAGGCUGAGGCGUGAUGACGAGGCACUACGGUGCUGAAGCAACAAAUGCCCUGCUUCCAGGAAAAGCCUCUAAGCAUCAGGUAACAUCAAAUCGUACCCCAAACCGACACAGGUGGUCAGGUAGAGAAUACCAAGGCGCUUGAGAGAACUCGGGUGAAGGAACUAGGCAAAAUGGUGCCGUAACUUCGGGAGAAGGCACGCUGACACGUAGGUGAAGUGAUUUACUCAUGGAGCUGAAGUCAGUCGAAGAUACCAGCUGGCUGCAACUGUUUAUUAAAAACACAGCACUGUGCAAACACGAAAGUGGACGUAUACGGUGUGACGCCUGCCCGGUGCCGGAAGGUUAAUUGAUGGGGUCAGCGCAAGCGAAGCUCCUGAUCGAAGCCCCGGUAAACGGCGGCCGUAACUAUAACGGUCCUAAGGUAGCGAAAUUCCUUGUCGGGUAAGUUCCGACCUGCACGAAUGGCGUAAUGAUGGCCAGGCUGUCUCCACCCGAGACUCAGUGAAAUUGAACUCGCUGUGAAGAUGCAGUGUACCCGCGGCAAGACGGAAAGACCCCGUGAACCUUUACUAUAGCUUGACACUGAACAUUGAGCCUUGAUGUGUAGGAUAGGUGGGAGGCUUUGAAGUGUGGACGCCAGUCUGCAUGGAGCCGACCUUGAAAUACCACCCUUUAAUGUUUGAUGUUCUAACGUGGACCCGUUACCCGGGUUGCGGACAGUGUCUGGUGGGUAGUUUGACUGGGGCGGUCUCCUCCUAAAGAGUAACGGAGGAGCACGAAGGUUGGCUAAUCCUGGUCGGACAUCAGGAGGUUAGUGCAAUGGCAUAAGCCAGCUUGACUGCGAGCGUGACGGCGCGAGCAGGUGCGAAAGCAGGUCAUAGUGAUCCGGUGGUUCUGAAUGGAAGGGCCAUCGCUCAACGGAUAAAAGGUACUCCGGGGAUAACAGGCUGAUACCGCCCAAGAGUUCAUAUCGACGGCGGUGUUUGGCACCUCGAUGUCGGCUCAUCACAUCCUGGGGCUGAAGUAGGUCCCAAGGGUAUGGCUGUUCGCCAUUUAAAGUGGUACGCGAGCUGGGUUUAGAACGUCGUGAGACAGUUCGGUCCCUAUCUGCCGUGGGCGCUGGAGAACUGAGGGGGGCUGCUCCUAGUACGAGAGGACCGGAGUGGACGCAUCACUGGUGUUCGGGUUGUCAUGCCAAUGGCACUGCCCGGUAGCUAAAUGCGGAAGAGAUAAGUGCUGAAAGCAUCUAAGCACGAAACUUGCCCCGAG